GAAGGGCGACUAAAAUGAUCAAGGGUCUGAAGAACAUGCCCUAUGAGGAGCGGCUGAAAGAGCUGGGCAUGUUUAGCCUGCAGAAGAGAAGACUGAGAGGAGUCAUGAUGUACAAAUAUGUGAGAGGAAGUCAUAGGGAGGAGGGAGGGAGCUUGUUUUCUGCUGCCCUGGAGACUAGGACGCAAGGGAACAAGGGCUUCAAACUACAGGAAAAGAGAUUCUACCUAAACAUAGUUGCAAAUUUCUGAAGAUUUAGAAGAUCCAGAACAGACCUAGCAGCAGCUAGGAUUAUAUUGUCUCUACUAAGCCUUUAAUAACUUGUAUCCAUUUAAUGAUUUCUGUAUAACUUGUAUCUUUCUUACUGUGUACUGUACCAAUUUCUUAUAUGAAGUGUAUGAAAUGUUUUUAGAUAAGUAUCAAAAUGUAACCUAAAGACAGACACUUCUUUGUCACUCUGUUUAGAAACUUCCUGAGAACUAAAGCAAAGUGACUCCUUUAGCUAUUUCCCAAGCCAGGCAACUACCAAGAUCAUUGUGUGUAUACAAAGAUAGAUGGUCCUCUUUAUCAGCCAGAUAUAUUCAGGAUGUUUGCUCACUUCACCUGAGGCUGAGAGUCUGAUGAAGUGGGAGUGAUCUUUGAUCGUGUCUGGCACAAUGAGGUUGGACUGGAUGACCUUUGGGCAUCUCUUCCAGCUCUAUGAUUUUACAGGGACUUCCAAAUGAAUAAAUUCCUCACAGCAAGAGCUUUAUGACAAUGGAGCAGAACUUCUCAGAAAGUGCUAGGUUGUUCUUCUCUGGUAGUCUUUCCAAAGAGGCUGGAUGGCCAUCUAUAUAUAAAAGGGUAAUGAAAUUUCGGCCUAGGACAAAACAACAAAACUACACAUCCCAGAAACACUCAACUUGGCAGCACAACCCCUCAUCCAUGCCUCUACGUUCAUACAACAAAAAGAAAAGAAAAAUAAAGUCCUAAUUAGAGGGAGAGGAAUAAUUGUUUUUAUCCAAUUGCUGCCAGUUAGAAGGCUAAACUCUGCCCACUUGGUCUCCUAGCAACCUACUCAGCCCAGGGGACAGGCAGAGUUAGGCCUCACUUAGGCCUCUUCCACACUGCCUAUAAAAUACAGAUUAUCUGAUUUUAACUGGAUUAUGUGGCAAUGUAGACUCAAGGCCCUUCCACACAGCUAUAUAACCCAUUUAUAAUCUUAUAUUAUCUGCUUUGAAUUGAAUUAUCUUGACUCCACACUACCAUAUAAUCCACUUCAGUAUGCAUUUUAUACAGCUGUGUAGAAGGGGCCUCAUACUUCGCCACAGCAAUGCGUGGCCGGGCACAGCUAGUCUUUCUAUAAUAUUUUAACUGUGGAAUCUUACACUGGCAGGAGGUUGGACUAGAUGACCUUUGGAUCCAUUUCAGCUCAAUUAUUUCAUGCUACAGCAUGCCUAAAUAAUUUGGCAAUGUGGAAAAUCCAAAGGCUGGUUCCUUUUCUGGAAACAGAGGUGAUAGAAAAUGCCCACAAGAUGUCAGUAUAACUUUGCAGACAAAUUGUCAUGAAGGAGAAACAGGGCAGAAAAACAGAACCCAGAAACCUCUCUGAUGACGUACAGCUGGAGCAUCCCUAAUGCAUAAUUCCAAAAUCCUGCAAAAUCCAAAACUGUACAGCUGAAUGUCUGAAAUCGUGACAUCUUUCCUUUCUUAUAGUUCAAUAUACACAAACUUAGUUUCAUGCACACAAUGAUUAAAGAUAACAAUUCCUUCAGGCUUUGUGUAUGAUAAGCCAUAUAUGAAACACAAAUGAGUUUUGUGUUUAGACUUGGGAUCCCACCUCUAAGAGUCCUCACAAGGU
rnacentral:lncRNA from 1 species